rnacentral:lncRNA from 1 species
AUAUUUCCAACAACAACAACAAGACCAACAGUAACAACAACAACAACAACAACAGCACCAAGAACAGCAACAGCAACAACGACAGCAACAUCAACAUCAACCCCACCACCACCACCACCAACAACAACAACAGUAACAACAACAUAAGUGAGAACAGCGACAACAGCGACAACAACGAAACAGCAACAACACCACCACCACCAACAACAACAACAACAACAACAACAACAACAACAACAACAAC